CCUACGGGAGGCAGCAGUGAGGAAUAUUGCGCAAUGGGGGCAACCCUGACCCAGCGAUGCCGCGUGAGUGAAGAAGGUCUUCGGAUCGUAAAGCUCUUUCGGCCGUGACGAUGAUGACGGUAGCUUCUCAACAAUCCCCGGCCAACUUCGUGCCAGCAGCCGCGGUCUUACGAAGGGUGCGAGCGUUGUUCGGAAUUACUGGGCGUAAAGGGAGUGUAGGCGGAUAUGUAAGAUAGCGGUGAAAUGCCGGGGCUCAACCCCGGAACUGCCAUUAUGACUAUGUAUCUAGAGUGAUGGAGAGGAUAGCGGAAUACCCAGUGUAGAGGUGAAAUUCGUAGAUAUUGGGUAGAACACCAGUGGCGAAGGCGACUAUCUGGCCAUUGACUGACGCUGAGGAUCGAAAGCAUGGGGAUCAAACAGGAUUAGAUACCCGUGUAGUC
rnacentral:rRNA from 1 species